AAAAAAAACAGUGGAAAAUAGUGGUUAUAUUUUCCCUAUUUUCCCUUUUAUAGUCAAUGCUGAACUAACACAACUGGAAUUCUAAGAAAUCCCAAGUUGUGCUGGGUGUGUGACAGUAAAUUUGACCAGCUGUAGCUGAAUUGGCCAUGUGUGAACAACAAUUAGCAUGGUACAUGGUAACAUAAUUAGGAGAAUCAAGAUGAAGUUAAGACAAAGGGAAAGUGGCUGGAUCCCAGUGACAUGGCUGUUGUUCUUUCUUGGCUUGGCACUCAGCUUCCUCUGAUGAAACUGCUCCAACAUCCAGUAGAGACUUAAUGGCAGCAAUGUGCAGGGUGUGCACAGAGCCGUACAGUGCUUUCAGGUGUCUGCUCCGUCCCCUGCCUGCCUUGCGUAUCUGAUGUUGUGGAGCAGAAAGGGGAGUGGAAGGUUCAUGAUUGAAGAAGGACUUCUGUGCUGUGGAGACGAGAAGGAUAUAUUGCCUCAGGAUCUUCUGAGUGUUACCAUGCUGUUAUGAUUACUGCAUCACUGACUUUGCUGAUGGAGUUGAGAAUAUACUUAAAAUGCAGAGAGCCAUAAUGAAUUGUGAAUGGGAAGCUCGUUCACAAGUAAGCUGGAGGAUAAAAUCAGAAUUCAAAGCGAUCUUCAAGUGGAGGAUUGAGCUCAAGCAUCAAACAUAGGACCAAUACAUGCAUAAAAGCAUGAUAGCCUACCAAAUCUGAAUCCAUGGUUUCUGUCAAGGAUCAGGUAUUAUCUAUUAUCAGCAGCUGGUGGCAGUAUCAGAAAGUCCCUGUUGGAAGGUUGUCUCUGCGUGCGGUUUGAGGUCCGUAUCCCAUGGUGCUGGGGUAGGACCAUAACAGCUCCCUGCAGAGCCUGUGCAGUCUGCAGCAAAUGGAUUGAUCUGUGCUCACCUUUUCCCAGCUGGCUGAAGAGGCCGUUCAGCUGUAAGAGUCCACGGGAUCUGCAUGGAUAUGACUUUGUUGCUCCUAAGUAACAGUGAAGAAGAUCUGCUGCCAGCAUUUCAUUUCCUCUUUGCCUUUCACCACUGCGGCUAAAUAUCAGUCAGAUUUCCAAGGAGAAAGGUGCUUUGAAGUCCUCCUGGCCGGAGUCCUCUGGAAUUCACGGAACUGCCUCACCCGCAGAGGGCCAGCUAACCCAUCCCAGGGAUUUGCCUUGAAAACCUGUGCUGCCGAGUGUAGUCGCUGCUGGAGUUCCUUUCUCGGGUAUGUCUGUCGUGCGGCCUGGCAGGUGAAGCACUCACGGGGACACUGGCAAGGUGGUGAUAAAACUCACUGCACUGCUACAUGGCUUAAGGCCAUGUAUCUGAAAAGAAAUGAUGCUUGCUUACUGCAUGAAGCUCACUGAGCUUUUGGGUGGAAAAGCAAAGCGUAAGUGAUUAUUAGACUGUUUAAUUAAAUGGUGUUUAAUAGAUAUUGCAAUAAAAGCUUUUAUGGUUGGCUGGGCCUGGCUGCACCUGCCUGGGGAGCUGGGCUCUGCCUGGGUUCAACCUCCCGAUAAUACCUGUGGGGAGAGGCACGGAGCUGCGCUUCAGGCAAGUUGUCGUGGUCCUACCAGAGGGCCCUGCAGGGUUCAAAUCAUGAUACGAUCACUAAAAGUGACUUGAAAAUUCUCUGAAAAAAAAAUGUCCAACGGGAAGUACCAAUUUGAUGCAGUGUCAGUAUCCUUCAGGAUUGCAUGGAUGUUCUGAAGUGCCCGGUUGGAAGGGCUUUGAGGGGCAGAACCGCGCCAGCCUCCAGCAGCCUGACCAGGCUGGGAGCUAGCUGGGAAGGUGGGGACUGACAUUCUUCUAAAAGGUGGCCUUAGGUAUUCCAAUAAUUAGUGUUUCUAAAUAUUUUUUUCCAUAGAAAUGUUCGUGU